rnacentral:rRNA from 1 species
AUUGAACGCUAGCGGGAUGCUCUACACAUGCAAGUCGAACGGCAGCGCGGACUUCGGUCUGGCGGCGAGUGGCGAACGGGUGAGUAAUGUAUCGGAACGUGCCCAGUAGCGGGGGAUAACUACGCGAAAGCGUAGCUAAUACCGCAUACGCCCUACGGGGGAAAGCAGGGGAUCGUAAGACCUUGCACUCUUGGAGCGGCCGAUAUCGGAUUAGCUAGUUGGUGAGGUAACGGCUCACCAAGGCGACGAUCCGUAGCUGGUUUGAGAGGACGACCAGCCACACUGGGACUGAGACACGGCCCAGACUCCUACGGGAGGCAGCAGUGGGGAAUGUUGGACAAUGGGGGCAACCCUGAUCCAGCCAUCCCGCGUGUGCGAUGAAGGCCUUCGGGUUGUAAAGCACUUUUGGCAGGAAAGAAACGUCGCGGGCUAAUACCCCGUGGAACUGACGGUACCUGCAGAAUAAGCACCGGCUAACUACGUG